rnacentral:rRNA from 1 species
UACGGAGGGUGCAAGCGUUAUCCGGAUUCACUGGGUUUAAAGGGGGCGCAGGCGGGCCUGUAAGUCAGUGGUGAAAUACCUGAGCUCAACUCGGGGAACUGCCAUUGAUACUAUGGGCCUUGAAUGACGUUGAGGUUUGCGGAAUGGGUCAUGUAGCGGUGAAAUGCAUAGAUAUGACCCGGAACACCGAUUGCGAAGGCAGCAGGCUAAACGUAAAUUGACGCUGAGGCCCGAAAGCGUGGGGAUCAAACAGG